UACGUAGGUGGCAAGCGUUGUCCGGAAUUACUGGGUGUAAAGCGCGUGUAGGCGGGAGGCCAAGUCUGCUGUGAAAUCGCCCGGCUCAACUGGGCGGGGUCGGUGGAAACUGGUCACCUGGAGGACGGUAGAGGCGAGUGGAAUUCCCGGUGUAGUGGUGAAAUGCGUAGAGAUCGGGAGGAACACCAGUGGCGAAGGCGGCUCGCUGGGCCGGCCCUGACGCUGAGGCGCGAAAGCCAGGGGAGCAAACGGG
rnacentral:rRNA from 1 species